UCCGCUUCGGAGAGCAUGCUGUCGGGGUGCACAGCCACAGGCGCCACCGCCACGGACAUGGACGUGAGGCUGCGAGGCUCCUAGACGAGCUAGUGAUACGGAUGCUGUGCAAGCCGCGUUUAGAAGGGGUCCUGUUCACAAAGCAAAACUUCACCAGCGCCAGGACCGGCCUCAAAGGAAAGUAGGGCAGGAUAGGCAGGGGGCCCUUAUGCACGGCUGGCUCUCUCUAACCAAGCUGCUAGGAGCUAAAGGCUUCUCAGGCUUUGGGAAAUGCUGACAGGCAGGAGAUAAAAGGGCAAAGGGCGGCAGGACCUAGACAACAGCAGCCAUCCUGGCCUCCUCUCCCCUCCCCUCCCUUCCCCUCCCCACCUGGCUUCCACCACUGGCUCAGAGGAAGUCAUCUUAACUCUGGGGUGGCUACACCAGCUCCCACCAGCCUACCUGUCUUACAGAGAUUGUAUUUUUUACAGGGCCUUGUUUUAGCAUCAACCCUAGAGUGAGGGGCUCCAAGUAAAAUACCUGAAAGGAAAACAUCCAAUGGAAAGAAAUCUCUGGCUGGAGAGUGUUACAUUCUCCUAUAACUGAGAAAGGACCUUAAGAAAAAAAAAAACUCAAAUAUCCAUCUACUUAUCUAUAAAAUGAAGACAAAAGCAGUAUGUGAUUCACAGAUUUGUCUGGUUAUUACAGAUGGCACUAUAAACACAGUGAUUUGAAACUGUAAGUUCUACACACAGGUUGUCACUAACUAUUGCACCUUAUUACAAUAAACUUUGU
ensembl:processed_transcript C030005K06Rik RIKEN cDNA C030005K06 gene